rnacentral:misc_RNA from 1 species
UGUUUCAACCUAUAAAGAGCUCCUACAUUUAAAAAAAAAACACUUGGUGGAUUAAACUAUAAAGUAAAAAGAAAUCCUCAACACUAAGGGUGGCAAACAGGCGGGUCGAGUCGGACAUGGAUUGAUCAAAAAUGAGUCAAGUGAAAAUAAAUAAAAUAUUUGACCCGACCCAUAUUUGAUAUGGAUAAAAUUAGGCAACCCCAAUGGAUCAUGAGUACUUCCAAAUUACAAGUUUUUUUCUUUCUCUUUUUCUCCUUUUAGGGUGUGUUUGGUUGUGAAGGAAAUAUUUCCAUGUUUCCCUGGAAAAUA